rnacentral:rRNA from 1 species
AGACCCGAAACCCGGUGAUCUAGCCAUGGGCAGGUUGAAGGUUGGGUAACACUAACUGGAGGACCGAACCGACUAAUGUUGAAAAAUUAGCGGAUGACUUGUGGCUGGGGGUGAAAGGCCAAUCAAACCGGGAGAUAGCUGGUUCUCCCCGAAAGCUAUUUAGGUAGCGCCUCGUGAAUUCAUCUCCGGGGGUAGAGCACUGUUUCGGCAAGGGGGUCAUCCCGACUUACCAACCCGAUGCAAACUGCGAAUACCGGAGAAUGUUAUCACGGGAGACACACGGCGGGUGCUAACGUCCGUCGUGAAGAGGGAAACAACCCAGACCGCCAGCUAAGGUCCCAAAGUCAUGGUUAAGUGGGAAACGAUGUGGGAAGGCCCAGACAGCCAGGAUGUUGGCUUAGAAGCAGCCAUCAUUUAAAGAAAGCGUAAUAGCUCACUGGUCGAGUCGGCCUGCGC